GGACUACACGGGUAUCUAAUCCUGUUUGCUACCCACGCUUUCGUGUCUCAGCGUCAGUCGUGGUCCAGAAAGCUGUCUACACCGCAGGUGUUCCUCCUGAUAUCUACGCAUUUCACCGCUACACCAGGAAUUCCGCUUUCCUCUCCCACACUCGAGCACUCCAGUUUCCGGCGCACCCUCCCAGUUGAGCCGGGAGAUUUCACACCAGACUUGGAGCACCGCCUACACACUCUUUACGCCCAGUAAUUCCGAACAACGCUCGCUGCCUACGUAUUACCGCGGCUGCUGGCAC
rnacentral:rRNA from 1 species